GACGAACGCUGGCGGCGUGCUUAACACAUGCAAGUCGAACGGAAAGGCCCUGCUUUUGUGGGGUGCUCGAGUGGCGAACGGGUGAGUAACACGUGAGUAACCUGCCCUUGACUGUGGGAUAACUUCAGGAAACUGGGGCUCAUACCGGAUAGGAGCUCCUGCUGCAUGGUGGGGGUUGGAAAGUUUCGGCGGUUGGGGAUGGACUCGCGGCUUAUCAGCUUGUUGGUGGGGUAGUGGCUUACCAAGGCUUUGACGGGUAGCCGGCCUGAGAGGGUGACCGGCCACAUUGGGACUGAGAUACGGCCCAGACUCCUACGGGAGGCAGCAGUGGGGAAUAUUGCACAAUGGGCGGAAGCCUGAUGCAGCAACGCCGCGUGCGGGAUGACGGCCUUCGGGUUGUAAACCGCUUUCGCCUGUGACGAAGCGUGAGUGACGGUAAUGGGUAAAGAAGCACCGGCUAACUACGUG
rnacentral:rRNA from 1 species